GAUUAUGUAUUGCAGGCAUAUGCAAAAAUAAGUUUGCAUAUCCUGAGCAUAUCCGACCUCACCUUUGUUGUGAAUAAAUCACAGACUGUCCUGGAUUCCAGAAGAGUUCCAACCAGUGAAGCUGGCAUUCCAGGAGAAUCCUCUGAUUCUUUUGGCAAAACUGAGUCAAGAACAUAUUGCCAGUUCUUCCUGGGCUCAACUAAAUGUGGAUUCCAUUCACAAUCACUUUUGCUUUGCAUGUUGUGUACGCUUAUGACCAUCAUGUUUAUCAGCAGUUCCAGAGGGCAGCUGCGAGGUUGCUUCCAAAUAUUGCAAUAUGAUUCCAUAAUGUUUUGUAGAAUUUGGAAUCCAUUAUUCUCAUAUUCAAGGACAGGUUUCAGAUUUCAGCAUUGAAAGAUGUCUUCCCAGUUCUUUCAUUGCUUUCAGGGUGCUCAGCUCACAUGGCCUGAGACAGGAAUUGUGCAGCCUCCACAGCCACCUAAACUAUAGACUUUCUAGAGGACUCUACAAAAGCCUGUUUCAUGUGCAGCAUGGUGGAAGAAUACAGUUAACUUUUUCAAUACUAGAACCAUAAAAAUCACUGAAACUAUAUUACCUUUUUGUUUAUCCUAAAAGAGACAAAUAUUCACCCUAUCUAGAAACACAGAACAUCUUCAAAUGCACCUCUGCGUUGUUGAAAAAGGCAUGUUUUGGGGAACUUUAAAGGUGUUGAAUAAUGAAGAAUUCUUUUAUUUAUUCCUUUGAUAAUUCUACUAAAAGUGCAUUUUUUAACAAGAAGACAGUUUCUUUGUUCUUUGUUCAUUAACAUUGCUGUAUUCAACAUAACUUUGAAUCAAAUUAUCCCUUUCACAAAACUGCUCACGUUGUUUCCUGUUCCUUGGCACGAUGAAGCCAUGCAUAUGUAUGACGCGUCACCAAGUGUCAUUUUAGGAAAGACCCUGUUAGUGUGCCUAUGGAGAGAAGCAGAGUUAGAGUAUUGUAGCCAUGGAAGCCACUUUACUUUGCAGCCUUUAGCUUCCUGGAGGGAAUCUGGUGAUGGGAAAGGAAUUCCAUUUUGCAUACUACAUUGUUAGCGUGCAAAUGCUCCACUUAUUUAUAUCAUUCAAUUCAAUCUGGACAUCUUACUUUAAAAAUGUAUAUCUCAGUCCCUCUUUGAAGAAAAAUAUGAUGAAAAUAUAUGAAUUAGAGCUCACAAUUUUACAUUAUUUGUAGAUCAUAAUAACGAUCUUGGCAUUUGUAUUUACCUUACAUAGAGAUGGGAAAACAUUUUGGAAGGUUUUUUGGAGCAAUAGGAGAGGGGAAUGAAAUAUCCCAUUAAAACAGGAAGGACAUUGCUGUCACCUAAUCAGACAGCCUCAGGACUACCAGCAGAUGGUGCAACAACCUAUUUAAUCCUCAGCAUUAUCAGAAAAUAACCAAGAAUGGCAUCUUUCUUUGCUAAUUAAUUCUGAAUACUCCUAAAAAAUUAUGACUUUAAUGAUAAUAGCAUUUAAAACGAUAACCAUAGAAUCUGUAAUAAUUUUUUAAUAAUUAUACAUAAUAUCUGACUUUUUGAACUAAAAGAGACUUUAGAACUCUCUGGUCCAAGCCUUCUGUUUAACAGCUGAGGAAACUCAAGUUCUUAAGUUUAAACUUCAACCACCAGCUAAGGAGGGUCGUGAUGAGUCUUGGUCAUAUGACAGAACCCAUCGCUCAUUGAUUCAGCAACAUUAUCCCUCAGCAAAUACGAUUUCUAGCCCAAUAAUCAAAAUUUGAUGGGGUGGCGGAUGGCAUUUGAUCAUCCAAGUUAAGAUUUUUCAGCAGAUGUUUAUCUGUGGAGACUCUUCUAUUGUAAGAACAUUCAUAGUUUUAGAAAAGAGGCAUUUUCUGGGAGAACAUGCUCUCCUGUCCUCUCUGUUUCCAGCUGCAAACUAACGUGUCAUUUUGCCAAAUGCUUCCUGUCUAGCUUCUGGCUAUUUCUGAGAGAGAGAGAGAAGGUGGGGGCAGGGGGAGAAAGAGAGAGAGAGAGAGAGAUUUUUUUUUACACAUUUGCUUUGUACUAGGAAAAUAUUUCUUAUACAGUCAACAAUAGCAUAUUAAUGGGGAUGAUUUAAGGAGCCCAAGCUUCUAUUCUGUUGCCAGAAUGCCAACGGGAAUGUAUGCUACUUUUCAAAAAAUAGGUGUUGACAAUAGCCUGCAGUAUUGCACUGUAGUCAAAGAAGAGUGCUGAAAGCUUCAGUUCAUAAAAAUGCUUGAUUCAUCAAAAAUAAUCACCUCACCUGAUAAUUGAAAGCUACAGAGAAUUAUUAUGCAGCCGUGGACUCUCAAAAAUUUAUUCAUUUUUGGUAAUUAACAUUAUUUCUUCUUGAUGAUGUUGCUAAAUGGCUUGAACCCAGUCUGAAGAACCAUGCAUGAUCAUUUAUGCUGAAAAGAAAAGAAAUUAGAAGCUUUUGUUGCACAGAAUGGUGGAUAAAGAUUGCGAAUUUGCACAGCUAUAAAGCUUACUAAUUAAAGACUACAAACACAAAGAGAGCAAGCCUUGUGAUGACUGCACAAUAACGAGGAUUCAGAUACAACGUGGUCGCCACCUGACGCCCACCUCCACAAAAAGCCAUUCUCAAAAGGAGAGAGACAUUCAUAUCCAGAAGAGGGAGUCGGCUGUAGGGUAGAGAUGUUCGUCUGAAGAUUUCAAAGCCCACUGCUGAUUUAAGGUCAUUCACAUUCAGCCAUGAAGCUGCUCUGAAGACACAGGAACUGCAUAGCUCCCUACUGGGAAUGUCAAGGGCUGUGAAAGGUCUAAGGUUUUAUCCUACUUGCAACCAACAAGCUAUGCAGCCACAGUUUUAUGGAUGCUGUCAAAAGACAUGACACUCCUGGCACUUCAAAUGCAUCAAAGGUCCAGAGAGAAGCUUCUUCUGGUCACCUUGAUCUUGUGAUGCAAGGCAGGUGGGAGCAAGGGCUCCACCUCUGCAGACACAGAGAUGACGGGGUCGCCAUGCCGGCGUUUUAGUCCCGGUUUCCUCUGCUCGAGUAGUUGGUGGCCUCCUGCCUGUUCCCUAACAUAACUUCACUUUCCUUACCUGCAAAACGAAAUUAGUAUUUCCUCCCUCACAAGGUGCUUGAUGCCCUUCCCCUUGCGUUUACUUUGCCUGAGAGACUAUAUCAUAUCUAUGAUUUUGUGAAUGGGGCAAAAGGAAUUGAGAGUGUCAGGGUAUACCUUAUAAAUAAGCCACUAAAGGUUACAUCCUCAUUCCACAAACUGACCUAAACAAUUUGGCUGUCACUAAUAGAUUAUUUUGGUCAGUUAUGGCAUUUAGAGGGAGAAGAGAGAGUAUAUAUAUAUGGGUGGGGUGUGUGUGUAUGCGUGUGUAUGUGUGUGUUUACAGUCAAAAUACCAAAAUAUAUCUAUGUAUAUAAAUAUAUUUGCUUUCUUUGUUUUUGUUACAAUAAACUUGUACAUACAAUUCUGACACACAUAUUUUCAUAUGUAGGCACAAAAAUAGUCAUACAAAAAAUACCACAAAAGGUAAUAACAAAGUGGAAGAAGACAUAGGAACAGAGAACAAACCAACACAUAGAAAAAGUAACAAACAUGGUAGAUACGAAUCCAGCUAUAUCAAUAAUCGCGUUAAACAUCAAUGGUCUUAAAUAUACUAGACAGUGGAAUAUUAUUCAGCAUUGAAAAGAAAUGACCUAUCAAGCCAUGAAAGACAAGGAGGAACCUUAAAUGCAUGUUACUGAGUGAAAGAAGCCAAUCUGAAAAGGCUGCAUCCUGCAGGAUUCUGACUCUAUGACAUUCUGGAAAAGAACACCAGGAGGACAGCACCAAGAGGGAGCCCUAGUGUGAACUGUGGACUCUGGUUGGUAAUGAUGUGCCUGUGAAGCUUCAUUGUUUGCAGCAAAUGCAUCAGUGUGGUGGGGGAUGUUUCUAAAUUGAUAAUGAAGGACGCCAUAGGUGUAUGGGGGCAGAGAGUUUAUGAGAAAUCUGUACCUUUUGCUCAAUUUUACUGAACAUAAAACUGCUGAAGCCAUCAUUCUCAGCAAACUAACCCAGGAGCAGAAAACCAAACGCCGCAUGUUCUCACUCAUAAGUGGGAGUUGAACAAUGAGAACACAUGGACACAGGGAGGGGAACAUCGUCACACACCGGAGCCUGUCGCAGGGUGGGGAGCUGGGGGAGGGAGAGCAUUAAGACAAAUACCUAAUGCAUGUGGGGCUUAAAACCUAGAUGAUAGGUUGAUAGGUGCAGCAAACCACCAUGGCACAUGUAUACCUAUGUAACAAACCUGCACAUUCUGCACAUGUAUCCCAGAACUUAAAGUAAAAUAUAUUAAAAAAAUUAAAGUCUAUUUUAAAAAAAGAAAAACAAUCAGCUAACCUACUUUGGUAGCUCUGUUCUGCGCUGUCGGGUCUUCCAUCCUAGCGUGUGACACAGGAGGGUUUCGCUGGCAGGACCCGCCCACUGCACAUGCAGGUUCAGGUGACAGAGACCUCUGGAAAGAUGAGGCCCGUGGGAGCAGGGGGCUUCUUGUUGACACUGAAGGUCAGGCUUCAGGAAUGCCAGGGGCUCAUAAAAUCUUUUUCACUGAACAUUAUGCUGAGCAGGAUUCAUUUUACCAGUGAAAAAAUAUUUCUGACAUCCUUUGUGCUUUUUAACAAAGCCUGUGGUGUGGAUUUGCAUGAUUCUUAGAUUGCUGAGUAACCACUUCGGGAGGGUUCUUGAUUAGGGCACUAAAAAUGUUAACACAACACCCGUGGGAUGUAGAUUAAGGUCAACUUGUCCUUGUGCGUCUCUCCUAGUGUUGAUGGCAGAGUCUUAGUAUUUCAGCUGACGAAAUCUCUGCCCAUUCUCUUCCAAUGUUCCCUAAUAAGCUACAGGAGGACAGAGACAAAAGUUUGACUUCAUUAGUAACUUUUGGAAGUUGCCCAAUUUAGGAAAAAGAGUUAAUAAAUCAGGAAUUUUAUAAGAACUUUUUGUUAAAUCUGUAGUUAUUCAAAUCAGCCUCAGCAUGAUAAGACAACACUACAGGUUAUUAUAAAUAGUUGAAAAAGAAAAAUUAAAUUCCAACCAAACAAUUGAUCCUUAACUUUUUUUUUUUUUGAGA
rnacentral:lncRNA from 10 species